CUCCAAAAGAGGAAGAUUUUGGUCUAAGCUUUUGAGCAAGAAAGGAAGGGAAAGGUAAUGGUGGUGGUGGUGGUGGUGGACUCCAUGGACCAUUUGGUCUCUGGCUAGAGGAUAAGCAUGACACGGUGGCUGCGGAUAUCGUCUAUGAUGCUCUCCUUUAGACCACAUGCACUGUUCUUCGUUUGAUGGGCUCUGUGGUCUUGAAGGAAGAAGAGGGAGCUGUGAUCUACGAUCCAUAUCUCGAUGAAUUGUUUGAAGAAAUGGCGGACCGAGAGGCGUCCACAUUGUGUGGUGCCGACCGAACAUGCCAUCUGCUGUGUUGGUGAGAUGAAGUGCCGAGUUCAAUGUUUACUGACUCAGAUGCACAUUGUCUCGGUACAAUGAUUAAGGGAGUCCCACAGCACAUCAGAAAUCCCAACAACGGUACAGCAUCCUCACAUCAAAUGGAGGAUAGAUAUGAGGACCUGAAUCUGCUGCCACACCACACAAUGGAAAGUUAAUGCUGCUUAAUGAACGAGCGUCAAACGUGGGAAUAGAGAUGGUAGGAGGUCCUGUAGAAGAAUAGAGGAACUGUGCAAUCUCAGAGGUGUUCACGAAAUCACUUGAACUCUGGACCUUUCACCGACUCUUGUCGUCCAGCCUGAAUGGGUGAAAUGCGUUCAAACCAUCAUUAACUUGGCUUCCUAUGUCUGGUGAGUCUCCACGUCGUCCUUCGUCGAGCACAUCAACUCCCACACUUCACAAACAUGAGAUCGAGUACAAUACAUUGGAGACGUGGACUACAUUCAACUCCCAGCACAUUGCAGCCAUGGAUGCACAAUAGGUAGGUAGCAUCUACGAUCAAGCAUGUCCUCGAAUGCUAUGGAAUGUCGGCAGGCCAACACCUUCUUCGUCGCCACCGAGUCAAUGCCACAGCAGAUUGUUGACACGUCCAAUUCAUUCUGCUCCCUUGCCCACCACACAUUAAUUCUGACAGCCCCCAACAGUGAUAUCAUCACCAUCGAAUGCAACACUGCAUCCUGAAUCGAUUGGUACAAUCUCCUGCACUCGAUUAUUAUUGCGCCACCGAAGGAGAAUCCAAAUCCGAGCUUGUCCAUCCAAAGUAUUUGGUCCAAUUGACUGCUUAUUCGUCACCCGAGUACGUCCAUCACAUCAACUCUGUCUGUGUCGUCGGUGAUGCACUGCAAUUCUAUUCUUAACCAGUGUUUAUUUGGGUGGCGUAGUA